rnacentral:rRNA from 1 species
UUGACAUCCAGAGAACUUGGCAGAGAUGCCUUGGUGCCUUCGGGACCUCUGAGACAGGUGCUGCAUGGCUGUCGUCAGCUCGUGUUGUGAAAUGUUGGGUUAAGUCCGCAACGAGCGCAACCCCUAUCCUUUGUUGCCAGCGAUUCGGUCGGGAACUCAAAGGAGACUGCCGGUGAUAAACCGGAGGAAGGUGGGGAUGACGUCAAGUCAUCAUGGCCCUUACGAGUAGGGCUACACACGUGCUACAAUGGCGCAUACAAAGAGAAGCGACCUCGCGAGAGCAAGCGGACCUCAUAAAGUGCGUCGUAGUCCGGAUCGGAGUCUGCAACUCGACUCCGUGAAGUCGGAAUCGCUAGUAAUCGUAGAUCAGAAUGCUACGGUGAAUACGUUCCCGGGCCUUGUACACACCGCCCGUCACACCGUGGGAGUGGGUUGCAAAAGAAGUAGAUAGCUUAACCUUCGGGAGGGCGUUUACCACUUUGUGAUUCAUGACUGGGGUGAAGUCGUAACAAGGUAGGCGUAGCGAG